rnacentral:rRNA from 1 species
UACGUAGGGUGCGAGCGUUGUCCGGAUUUAUUGGGCGUAAAGAGCUCGUAGGCGGUCUGUCGCGUCUGCUGUGAAAACUCAGGGCUUAACCCUGAGCUUGCAGUGGGUACGGGCAGACUAGAGUGCGGUAGGGGAGACUGGAAUUCCUGGUGUAGCGGUGAAAUGCGCAGAUAUCAGGAGGAACACCGGUGGCGAAGGCGGUUCUCUGGGCAUUACCUGACGCUGAGGAGCGAAAGUGUGGGGAGCGAACAGG